CUAUUUACCUGGUAAGAGAGAUAGUAUGAUCGUGAAAGUGGUUUUUCUAGGGUGAGGCUUGUCCAUUGUAUUUGGCAUGUACUGACGCCUGCGAUUUCCCCAAAUGUGGGAAAGUUGACUGCAUAAUUUGUGGUAGUGGGGGCCUGCGUUUGCACUUUCCCCUG